CUACGGGUGGCUGCAGUCGAGAAUAUUUGUCAAUGUACGAAAGUAUGAACAUGCGACGCCGCGUGGAGGAUGAAGGCCUUCGGGUUGUAAACUCCUGUCCUGAGGGAAUAAAUGGAUACAGGCUAAUACCCUGUAUUUUUGACAGUACCUCAGAAGAAAGUCACGGCUAACUCUGUGCCAGCAGCCGCGGUAAUACAGGGGUGGCAAGUGUUGUUCGGAUUUACUGGGCGUAAAGGGUUCGCAGGCGGUUUUGUGUGUCAGAUGUGAAAGCCCACGGCUUAACCGUGGAAAUGCAUUUGAAACUACAGGACUAGAGUACAGGAGAGGAGAGGGGAAUUCAUGGUGUAGCGGUGAAAUGCGUAGAUAUCAUGAAGAACACCGGUGGCGAAAGCGCCUCUCUGGACCGAUACUGACGCUCAUGAACGAAAGCUAGGGGAGCAAAGAGGAUUAGAUACCCCCGUAGUC
rnacentral:rRNA from 1 species